GCGAGCCGUAUGCGAGGAGACUUGCACGUACGGUUCUUGGGGGGGUUCCGGCCGAAAGAUCGGCGCCUACCCGAC
rnacentral:ncRNA from 1 species